UACGGGGGGGGCAAGCGUUGUUCGGAAUUACUGGGCGUAAAGGGCUCGUAGGCGGCCAACUAAGUCAGUUGUGAAAUCCCUCGGCUUAACCGGGGAAUUGCGUCUGAUACUGGAUGGCUUGAGUUUGGGAGAGGGAUGCGGAAUUCCAGGUGUAGCGGUGAAAUGCGUAGAUAUCUGGAGGAACACCAGUAGCGAAGGCGGCAGCCUGGACCAACACUGACGCUGAGGAGCGAAAGCCAGGGUAGCAAACGGG
rnacentral:rRNA from 1 species